CUAGCCUAUUACUAAUAAACAACUGCUCCUCUUAGACUUCUAUCUGGACAUUGAUUUUACAGAAUAAAGCAAAUAGUACAGACCGGCCUCUGUCUUCCUCCGUCUCUGAACCACCGCCCUCUCUCAAGAACUUCAUCUCCGCUAAAGGCCAUCUUUGUGGAGCAAAAUCAUAGUUGGAGCAGAAAUGGAAAAAGUUGAUGGGGAAACUAACAACGUUAUGAAAGGUGUUCAACAUGGAGCAUGCCACUAUCUUCUGAAGCCUAUCAGAAUGAAAGAACUUAAGAAUAUCUGGCAACAUGUUUUCCAAAAGAAGAUGGUUUUUUAUUUUGUGGAAGUGAUCUGAAUUCAGGAAGGAAAAGAAAAGAUUUUCAUAACAAGCACAAUGAUAAAAACUUUAGUGAUCCUUCUGCUGGGAAGAGAACUAGAGUAGUUUGCGACAGGUCAAGAAUGGUUUCUGUCUUGCUGGAAGAAUAGCGAUGAUCCGGCUCCAGGGGGAUAUACAUAUAGCUUGGAUCCUACUGGAUACCCACACAAUGCAAUAUGGGACUUAUGCAUUGAUAAUAAUCCUAGGUGUGCGUGUUUGAAAAAAUUUGCUCCAAGUUACAUAGACACUUAUACCAAUGGGGAUUGGAGUCGUGGGUGUACAAGGAAGAAACCACUUAAUUUCCAAAAAGGAGAUGGUUUCCGCAAGUAUUCUCAUAUUAAGGACCAGACACACUUUCCACCUGGAUUGAUGAGAAUAUGAAUCUUAAGGAAUGUAAAAAAAGUAUGCUUGAACAACUGCUCCUGUACAGCUUAUGCUACUUCGAAUAUUUCACAUGAGGAAACUGGAUGUUUACAAUGGUUUGGGGAUCUGAAACACAUGAGAGAAGUAUCUGAAGGAGGCCAAGAUUUAUACAUAAGGGCGGCCUUUUCUGAUUCAGGUAGAUAGGUCAAUAAUUGGAGCUGCCAUCAUAAUUAGCUUAUCAGCAUCAGCAGGAGUUUGUUUACUAGGUUUAAAUUUGGCAUCUUGUAUAUGGAAAAUAAAGAAGAAUCUGAAGCUGAAGGUAUCAGAAGAAACUCUUAAAAGCAAUUUAAAAGAACCCAACAAUAGGAGCCAAAAUACUCGAGUUGAUGAAUGUGCCCUGGUUAACACGAGAAAACGUUGCUAGCCACUUGCAGGAUUACCGAUUAUAUUUGAGCCGAUUACAAAAAGAGAAUGAUCUUAAAGCAUCUCAUGGUGGUACAAAGCAGUCUACUGAUGCAACUUCAAGAGACCAAGCUGGAAACCUUCCUGGCGGGACGGAGGGAGUACAUAAUUAGCAUCAGGUUUAAACUCUAGAAAUGCUAACUCAAAAAGGUAGGGAACUGACCCAGAGAAUGCUAUAUAUUGAUAUAUUUAUGAUUAAAUGCAUGUAUGUAUUCACACAAUUUUGUGUUUGGGGGACUCAUGUGGGAGUAGGUGGGAUAAGUUAGAAGUUUAUUAAGGCCAGUUGUAUAAUUUAAUUAUUUUUAUGAUAAUGUAUAUCAGUAAUCUAGAAUUAUUUCUAUUGUUUUAGUGAUAACUUAUUUGAUUGUGUAGUGGUCACUAAAUUUCGCGGUUGCUAUCUAAGAAAACUAAUCAAAAUAUCUAUAUUGAUGGUUAAACAAAACCUUACCUCUUUGUCAUUCGCAAGCAGAAAAGUUGCAGCACAUUCUAAAGAUAAUAACUAACCGGAUAUAUUUAUCUUACCUUUGCUCUAUUAAUCAUCUUUUUUCAUGUGAGUUUCUCAACUGCAUUAAAGUCUCGUAUUUGAACUAAAAUCAUGUGUCUGAAUUUACUGUUGCUGGGGUUAUGCUUAUAUCCAACUACUGACUGCAAUUUGUUAUCUAUAUUUGCUUAAGGAUAAAUAUAGAUGAUUUAUCUGAGUUAAAUCAAUACAUCCUUCUAUAUAACACUUAUGUGGCUCUGCAGUCUAUUUGUGAUAUUGUUUUUAAAUUGUUUUAUAUGUUUGAGAUGAAUGAAUUCAUUAAUAUGUCAUUCAUUAUAAUUUACAAAACCAUUUUGAUGUUAAGUUCCAGAAACAGAUUAAUUAUUGGAAUAUUUAUGUUUGCUCUGAGUAAAGUAAAUUUCAGCAAGUAUAAUAUUUUUAAACAUAAACUUUAUUUCUGCCUAUACUAAACAGAACAUAUGUAUUCUACCUGCAUUAGUGGCAAAAAUCAUGUGCAUAUUCUUCUGAAUUUGCAAUUAUCUGAGCUAUCUCAUAUGAAUAAGGAAUAAAAAGUGAAGAAUGAAAUUGUAGUAGAUCAGUUCAAGGGUGAAGACUUCUUUGGGACGGGUUUUUCGCCUAAGAUGAAUGGCAGCACUGAUUUUAGUUCAAAUAUGAGACUUGACUGCCAAAGCCAAAUUCUCAACCACAUAGCUAGAACAAUCAAGCGCCUCACAACAUGUCUGAUACUGCAAAUGCUCAUUUUACCUCUUCCUAUGUUCUGUCACGGCUUCAUAAUUCAGGUAUAUAAACCAUCAAUAUUACUCCUAUGUCUUUAUCCUUUAAAAUUAUUAAUUCCAUGAUUUGUAAUUUUAUCUUUCUGCAUAUAUGUCCUUCCAUGCUAUAUAACUUAUAUCUGGCAUAAUCAAUAAAACCUUUCCGUCCAAGUAGUGGCACGUCCACGUCUGGUGUGAAAGAUUUAUCCGAUGAUUUUGACUAAGUAGGAGAUCCUACAGAGCAUGUGGACAUUGGAGACGAUGGUAUUAUGUUGCAGAUACUAUUUUGUUCAUGCUUAUACCAAGUGUACAUGGGUGUGUAAUAGUUCUGUAGUAUACUUUGGAUUAUGUCUAACAUUUAUGUUCUCAUGUUUUUAAGUAUUUUUAUAUUUUUG